GAAAUUACAUGUUUACCACUUUUAUGGUACCACUUUUCAUUUUUACCACCACUAAUGAGACAUUUUCAAAAAUACCUUCUUCAUUAAGUGGCAAAAGACUUUUAUGCCCUUGUUAUUUAUAUAUAUAUAAUAAAUCAUUAUUUAAAUAAAAAUAAUAAUAAAAAAAAGUAAAAAAAAUAUUUUAAAUUUUUUUUUUAUGUUUUCGAAUUAUACUUUUUUCAAAUUCAAACUUUUUUAUAAAAUUAUUUUUUUUUGAAUUUUUUUUGAAUUUGUUUUUAUUUUUUUCAAAUUUCUUUUUGAAAAACGAAAAUUAUGUUUGAAACUAUUAUUUAAA
rnacentral:lncRNA from 1 species